CGAUUGUUGGUAGUGUUCUUUAUAAAAACGAUAAAGAACACUACCAACGACCGGU
rnacentral:pre_miRNA from 1 species